rnacentral:rRNA from 1 species
UUCGGUGACCACAGCGGUGGGGAAACGCCCGGCAACAUCCCGAACCCGGAAGCUAAGCCUGCCAGCGCCGAUGGUACUGCGAGGGGGACCUCGUGGGAGAGUAGGUCGUCGCCGAUCUAU